rnacentral:rRNA from 1 species
UACCGAGGUCUCAAGCGUUGUUCGGAUUCAUUGGGCGUAAAGGGUGCGUAGGUGGUGCCGUAAGUCGGAUGUGAAAUCUCGGGGCUCAACCCCGAAACUGCAUUCGAUACUGCGGUGCUCGAGGACUGGAGAGGAGACUGGAAUUCACGGUGUAGCAGUGAAAUGCGUAGAUAUCGUGAGGAAGACCAGUGGCGAAAGCGGGUCUCUGGACAGUUCCUGACACUGAUGCACGAAGGCCAGGGGAGCAAACGGG